rnacentral:rRNA from 1 species
GCAUAUCAAUAAGCGGAGGAAAAGAAACUAACAAGGAUUCCCCUAGUAACGGCGAGUGAAGCGGGAAGAGCUCAAAUUUGAAAUCUGGCAGUCUUCGAUUGUCCGAGUUGUAAUCUAUAGAGGCGUUUUCCGUGCCGGACCGUGUCCAAGUCUCCUGGAAAGGAGUAUCAAAGAGGGUGAUAAUCCCGUACUUAACACGACCACCGGUGCUCUGUGAUACGUCUUCUACGAGUCGAGUUGUUUGGGAAUGCAGCUCAAAAUGGGUGGUGAAUUCCAUCUAAAGCUAAAUAUUGGCGAGAGACCGAUAGCGAACAAGUACCGUGAGGGAAAGAUGAAAAGCACUUUGGAAAGAGAGUUAAACAGUACGUGAAAUUGUUGAAAGGGAAACGAUUGAAGUCAGUCGUGUUCUUUGGAUUCAGCCAGUUCUGCUGGUCUACUUCCUUUGAACGGGUCAACAUCAGUUUUGUCCGGUGGAUAAAGGUAGUAGGAAUGUGACUUCCCCGGAAGUGUUAUAGCCUAUUAUCACAUACACUGGGUGAGACUGAGGACUGCAGCUCGCCUUUAUGGCCGACCUUCGGGUACGUUCGAGCUUAGGAUGUUGACAUAAUGGCUUUAAACGACCCGUCUUGAAC